rnacentral:rRNA from 1 species
GACGUAGGGAGCAAGCGUUGUUCGGAAUUACUGGGCGUAAAGCGCAUGUAGGCGGCAGCGCAAGUCGGGCGUGAAAUCCCACGGCUCAACCGUGGAAGUGCACUCGAAACUGCGCAGCUAGAGUCCUGGAGAGGAAGGUGGAAUGCUUGGUGUAGAGGUGAAAUUCGUAGAUAUCAAGCGGAACACCGGUGGCGAAGGCGGCCUUCUGGACAGUGACUGACGCUGAGAUGCGAAAGCGUGGGGAGCAAACAGG